UACUGUAAAUAUGAUCUCUAUGAUUUGUCCUAAAUAUGAUCUUUGUCGUUGCAGAUGUUUUGCUGACUAUACUGGAAAACAUUGUGAUAAAAAAUCAUUGGAAGAAUCACGUGAUAACGAGCUGAUCGUAACUAUUUUUGCUAUCACCAUAUCAAUGACUGCAGUAACUAUGUUCGGUAUAGUUUGUUGGCUCACUUUAAUAAG